UUGCAGCUCUCAUAACUGUAUCUUGCUUAGUUAUAUAUGGGCUGAUUAAUUCAAGAAUAUGGUCGAAACUUUCAGUGGAGAUCCGAAAGUAAUUUUCGUAGUCGCUUAAUUCCUUGCAAAGUCGAAUCGAAUCCAAUAAUCUCAAAUGAGUGUACCUAUGCCGCUCCAGGUACCAUCUUUGACUCCAAUACUUCCACUUUGUUUCUUUUUUUAAUGAAAAUGCCAGUAAUAUGGCUAAACACGCUCUUUUAGAAUUUUCUUGCAUUUUUCUUAUUUAAAAACGACUUGCACAGUUCAAAAGUUUGAAAAUAAUGACGCGAUAAAUAUUGAAGGUGUAGCAUAGCAGAGAGUGGAGCAUCAUGCAUCAAUAUGGAUCACGAUACUGGAUCGCGAUCCAUAUUGAUCGUGAGACAGGGCCCAAUGUGAUAAUCGUGUGUAAAAACUCUUUUCAACUAUUAUUUUUAACAAAAUAAUUUUGCGGAUCAGAUUGCUCCGAGCGCUUGUGUGGUUUACCAAGAAAAUGCAGCCCUGUUGGUUUUUAUUUCUGUAUCGCAUCGCGACUAUUAAUUACAAACACAGCAUCAUCAUGAUGAUUGCAAGAACUACUGCAAUCCCUGCGGUUUUUCCUCUUGGUAAAUGCGUUCUGGUCGUGACCAAGGGUGGUCUCCCAAAUCGGCCGGGAAUAAGGCUAUUGUUUCAGAACAAAACGCCGCAACGACUGCUGUGGUAAAUAUGUUUCAGCAGAACUGCCCACCGCCGUCGGUGUAAUGAUUUCGAUAGCUGAACAAACGCCAUCUUCUGGGCAUUCCCACAGCUUGCCGACACUAGCUAUUAUAUCACGUGUGAAUGCAACUGCGGCUAAAUUUGGUUAUUAACAGUGCAAUAGUACCAUGUCAUUGGCAAAAACAAUAGUGGCUGCUGGCACAUAGAGGUUGUAAAGUUUUUGGUAUCGAUGAAUUUACUCGAAGAAGACGAUGGCCGAAAACAUAUGUUGGCAUGCCUUUGACAAUCGUUAAGUCAGACGGAGGCUACACAUACGAUCUUUCACACAAGGCUGGAAUUCGUUAGCGGACAGAGCACACAUUUACAAAAUAUUUAUCGUUCUGCAGAACGUUCAUGCAUAUUCGAUUCCGAUUUUAUGGGUCGAUUACGGAGGACAACCGAACUUCAGUUGGUAGGCCAGUAGCUGAAAUGGUAUUACCGAUGGCAACUAGCAACUGAAAGCUGGCAACUAAGUUGCUAUAUUGGCAACUGCAUUUUUGUGGCUGCCGGGAAAUUUUGAUUGAGAUACUUUAUUUCUUUUUUCAACUUUUUUUUUUAAUUGUACCACCUUGAACUUUAUGAAACUUAAUUAUUGCUAUUCAUAAUAAAAAACAUUUUCAUUUCAGUGGCGCUGUCCAUCGGCAACCCAACUGAGGUUCCGUUCCCAUCCAUAAUCGAUCCAUAAGUCAUAAUCGCACGAACUAAUCAAGGCUAUCAUAGAAUCCAUCGUAGUCCGAUUUUUCGUGAAAUCUACGAAAAUGCUAUUAAGUUCGAGUGGCUACGAACGCAGCGCUUGCUUUUGAUACACACGUUCAUAGCAGUUCAGAUUCAGUGAUCGCUUUUUCGUAGAUUUUAAGAAAAAUCGGACUACGAUGGAUUCCGCCACCAAUAUGUUUUCUCCUUUGACAAGAUGUUGGAGAAUCGCGGCAGCACAGCCGUAUACCUACUCUAUGCUCUUACGCGCAUAUGCUAAAUUCCUCGCACCUAGCUAAAGUGCUUGACAGAGGCAUAUCUUCAACAUUAUAACUUAAAGUAAAAAAGUUUAAGGCACGCAAGAAAAGAAUACAACAGAACCAAAAAAUGUUCUCAAAACUAUUACACAUAAAAAAUUGCACGAAUAAAAUUCAUAAUUUAAAAUAAAAUA